GAUGAACGCUGGCGGCGUGCCUAAUACAUGCAAGUCGAGCGAACAGACGAGGAGUUUGUUCCGCUGACGUUAUCGGCGGACGGGGGAGUAACACGUGGAUAACCUACCUAUAGGACUGGGAUAACUUCUGGAAACCGGAGCUAAUACCGGAUAAUAUAUUGAACCGCAUGGUUCAAUAGGGAAAGACGGACUUGCUGUCACUGAUAGAUGGAUCCGAGCCGCAUUAGCUAGUUGGUAAGGUAACGGUUUACCAAGGCCACGACGCGUAGCCGACCUGAGGGGGUGAUCGGCCACACUGGAACUGAGACACGGUCCAGACUCCUACGGGAGGCAGCAGUAGGGAAUCUUCCGCAAUGGGCGAAAGCCUGACGGUGCAACGCCGCGUGAGUGAUGAAGGUCUUCGGAUCGUAAAACUCUGUUAUUAGGGAAGAAGAAAUGUGUAAGUAACUAUGCACGUCUUGACGGUACCUAAUCAGAAAGCCACGGCUAACUACGUG
rnacentral:rRNA from 1 species